rnacentral:rRNA from 1 species
GAUGGACGCUGGCGGCGUGCCUAAUACAUGCAAGUCGAGCGAACAGACGAGGAGCUUGCUCCUCUGACGUUAGCGGCGGACGGGUGAGUAACACGUGGAUAACCUACCUAUAAGACUGGGAUAACUUCGGGAAACCGGAGCUAAUACCGGAUAAUAUAUUGAACCGCAUGGUUCAAUAGUGAAAGACGGUUUUGCUGUCACUUAUAGAUGGAUCCGCGCCGCAUUAGCUAGUUGGUAAGGUAACGGCUUACCAAGGCAACGAUGCGUAGCCGACCUGAGAGGGUGAUCGGCCACACUGGAACUGAGACACGGUCCAGACUCCUACGGGAGGCAGCAGUAGGGAAUCUUCCGCAAUGGGCGAAAGCCUGACGGAGCAACGCCGCGUGAGUGAUGGAGGUCUUCGGAUCGUAAAACUCUGUUAUUAGGGAAGAACAAAUGUGUAAGUAACUAUGCACGUCUUGACGGUACCUAAUCAGAAAGCCACGGCUAACUACGUG